rnacentral:tRNA from 3 species
GCGGCAGUAGUUCAGUGGUAGAAUGUCUCCUUCCCAAGGAGAAGGUCGCCGGUUCAAGCCCGGUCUGCCGCUCCA